AUACGGAGGGUGCAAGCGUUAAUCGGAAUUACUGGGCGUAAAGCGCUCGUAGGCGGUUUGGUAAGUCAGAUGUGAAAGCCCUGAGCUCAACUUGGGAACUGCAUUUGAAACUGGCAGGCUAGAGUAUGGUAGAGGGGGGUAGAAUUUCUGGUGUAGCGGUGAAAUGCGUAGAUAUCAGAAGGAAUACCAGUGGCGAAGGCGGCCCCCUGGACCAAUACUGACGCUGAGGUACGAAAGCGUGGGUAGCGAACAGGAUUAGAAACCCCAGUAGUCC
rnacentral:rRNA from 1 species